UACGUAGGGGGCAAGCGUUGUCCGGAUUUAUUGGGCGUAAAGAGCGCGUAGGCGGUCCGGUAAGUCCGCUCUGAAAGUCCGGGGCUCAACCCCGGGAGGCGGGCGGAUACUGUCGGGCUAGAGUCCGGAAGAGGCGAGUGGAAUUCCUGGUGUAGCGGUGAAAUGCGCAGAUAUCAGGAGGAACACCAAUGGCGAAGGCAGCUCGCUGGGACGGUACUGACGCUGAAGCGCGAAAGCGUGGGGAGCAAACAGG
rnacentral:rRNA from 1 species